AUUGAACGCUGGCGGCAUGCCCUACACAUGCAAGUCGAACGGCAGCGGACCUUCGGGUGCCGGCGAGUGGCGAACGGGUGAGUAAUAUAUCGGAACGUACCUUUCAGUGGGGGAUAACGUAGCGAAAGUUAACGCUAAUACCGCAUAUUCUGUGAGCAGGAAAGCAGGGGAUCGCAAGACCUUGCGCUGAUUGAGCGGCCGAUAUCAGAUUAGCUAGUUGGUGAGGUAAAGGGCUCACCAAGGCGACGAUCUGCAGCGGGUCUGAGAGGAUGAUCCGCCACACUGGAACUGAGACACGGUCCAGACUCCUACGGGAGGCAGCAGUGGGGAAUUUUUGGACAAUGGGCGCAAGCCUGAUCCA
rnacentral:rRNA from 1 species